ensembl:lncRNA
UUUUUUUUUUUUUUUUUUAAAGGCAAAACAAAACUUUGAAAUGUUAAACUCAGCUGGGAGUAUUUCAUAGCCUGGGAUUUGAGGACAGCAGCUGAGCAGUGGGGUUGGAACUUCUCCCUGUGGUGUGGGCACAUCCCUGGCUUGGGCUGGGGCACUUCCAGCAGUUCCCUCUGCAGUUCCUGCCCCAAGGGCCUAUCAGGAUUUGAAAAAUUGAGUUAUUUAACAGUUGUGUCCUGCAGGAGAGGUGCUGUAAGGACUCCUUGCUCAGCUGAGAUGCUGAAAUGAUGACGGGCAGGUGGCCAUCAGGCCAGUGUCCCCUGGAACUGUUCCCCCUUGCAGGAAGCCCAGCUUUGCCCUGGUGAAACCCGUCCCUGCCAAAAACCAGGGUUUGCUCUGAGCAGAACAGCUCUGCCUCCUCUGGAGCCUCAUGCAGCCCCAAAGGGAGAUUCCAGGAGGCUGUAGGUGUGGUGGGGAGCAGGAGCAGAGUCAGGCUCAGCCCCAGCUGCCUUGGCUUCCUCCAUCCCCAUCAGAGCAGCAGCGAGGGGGUCGUUCCUUUUGCUUUUUCUAGCAAAGCUCACUAACAGUUUUGAGAAGAAAGCCUAAUUCCCCACAUUGGCAUUUCCUGAGGGGAUUGGGUUUCAUUUGGAGGACUUUUGGCUUUGCUUUUCACCCUUUUGAAGUUAGUUGUUAUCAGGGUUCUGCGGUUCCUUAAUUAUUCUUCUCAGAAGCCAGGAGAAAGAGGCAUUUUUCAUCUGAAAAUAAGGCAAGAGCCCUUAUUAUUUGGCUUUUCUCCUUCGUAACUUUUAUUUAAAGACACAGAGAGAGAAGUGGGACAGCAAAAAGGGUCUUAGGGAGCAAAAUGAGACAUUAAGACCAAAUAAACACCAAUUCUUCAGCAGCAGGAUAGGAAAUGUGUAUUUCUCUUCCAUUUUCUCCUGUUCAGGAGAGAGGGGGGAAGGCUUUGCUAACACAUUCAAAUGAAUUUGAUAUUCAAUCAAUGAAGAUUAACUUGCCCAAGGUAAGAUGGUUUUUACAUUCAUAAGGAAGUCAAAUACGAUUAUGCAUAUGAGGAAAUUAUACAGAGAUGAGUAGAGUAUAAUGUAUGAUAAUUAUUUGAAAGGAUAUACUUACACACUGAUUAGCAUAUCUUGAAGACCAGACAGAGAUGGAAGAAUAGAAGGUAAAGAGAUUCCUCAAGAUGAACAAACUGUAUAAAACUCACUCCCCAAAAAUCAUAGAAGUUGGUUAGAAAUAGCAUUUUCUUACGGAUGGCAACCUUAAAAAAAAUCCCUCACAAGUUCACCUCUUGAUUAGAAAUAUUUUUUUUUAAUUAUUCAAAUCAAGCAUGUGGAACUUGGCUGAGAAUAUCCCUGUGCAGAGGAAGGAUGGACACAAAGAGAUGAAAGGGGAAGGCCAGCAGGAUAUCCACGUGCCUUUCCCAGUGUUGUGAGCCCCUCUCCCCAGAAUGAAGCAGCAGAAAUAUUUUCCCCAGGGAAGGCAGGUUCUUGAGCCCAGCACCAUUGGCUCAACUCGUUGGCAUGGUUUGGUUUUUCCUUCCUGGCUGCUGCAGUGGGAAAACAGCAUUCCCAUCUUUCCAGAGCCAAAAUAUUUCUCUGUUUUCAAAAAAAAAAGAAAAAAAUCUGUGUGAAUUUGUCAGCAGGUCCCUCGGUGUGCGGAUGUGUGCAGGGAGCAGCUGAGGUGGGGCUGGGGUUAAACACAGGGAAAAUGUUGGAGCGGGGGCAUCGAGGAUGCUGGGGCAGGAAGGAUCCUCCAGGCAAAGGGCCAGGGGACCUCUGAGCCCUUCCACCUCCCUGGGGCAGGAAAAUCCAUCCUGGAAUGAGAAUAUUCCGUGUCUGGGGGGUGCUGGGUGGUGGUGGGGAUGGAGCUCGGCAGCUCGAGGCUGUUUGGGGUGGGCAGUGGUUGCCUCUGGAAGGGGGGAUCCACACCUUGUGGGCCAGUGGGAGAUGCUCUGGCAGGGUUUGGGGUCAGGGCCCUGGUGGAUGUUUGCUUGCAGAACCCAGCCAGCGUGUCAGGAACCGUGGGUGCCGUGGGAGGUGGGCUGAGCACUGCCAGGGGCAGAUUGCUCCAGUUUUGUGGUGGUUCAGCCCCCCUGUGCAGAAUUCAUGGACUUGGAGGGACUUCUCCCAGCAGGACAGGCAGGACAGGCAGUCCUCCCUGGCACGGGGGACACGUCACCCACACCAUCACAGCGGUGUCCCUGCUCCGAGUCACCCAUUCCCAGAGCUGUGGGUGCCUCAGUGGCUGGUUCAUGAGGGGUUUGUGCCACAGCAGGUCCUGAGCACCCUUGGCCAGGGCUGUGUCCCUCCCUCUGGGGUGUGGGCUGCCGUGGCUGCCCGUUUGUGCCAUGGGGGGACAGCUGGAGCCUGAAGGACAAUCCCUGGCUGCCGCUCUCCAGCACCAAACGUGUGUGGGGAGCUUGGAGAAGGCGCUUUGCUGCACUUCUGUCAGUCUGCUGGGGUGGAAGUGGGUGUCUCAGGUGCACUGGGAGGUGUCCCAGGGCUGCAGGGGCACCCCCAGAAGAAAGCAGCACAUGGGCACAGUCAGCUGGCGCCCGUCCCAGCCCGGCAUCUGCCCCACAAAGGCCGGCAGGGAUUGCAGCCAAGGCAGGGGGCGGGGAGGGAGGGAAAGGUGAUUUUAUAGAACUUGAAUACAUUUGUCUGGCAGACAUUUCCUGGAUCCUGCUUCGGCUUUUAAGAGCAGCACUGUAAAUUCAUCAACACCACAUGAUUUUGUCAAUUCUGACAGCUAACUUCAAUGUUACGACAAAUCUGGCCCCAGAGGAUAUUAAGCAAAGACGCAUGAGCCUAUAAUUUUCUGCUUCCACGUGUGAGAUGCUAUAAUGAUCAAAAGAAAAUGACUUUCUAACUACCACAUCUCUUUGUGCUGUUUUCUCCAUGCCUGCUGCACUAAUUGAAUCACCCCAGAGCCACUGUAUCAAUUCGAACUUCUGUAUUAGGAUUUAAUCAGGCAUGGGGACAGACCAGCUUGGAGAGGUGAGGGGCCUUUGUGAGGUGCCCAUCUGCCUCUGACAUUAAAGCCGCUUCCAUUCAAUGCUGAGCAACUUCAGGGGAAUCAGGGAUGGCCGGGAAGCGAUGGGAGAUUAGCUGGGCCGUGCCUGGGAUGCUGCUCACCUCGGAGCUGGCAGGAGCUGGGCAGGGCACACGGCUUUAUCUCAGCACCAAGCUGCCUGGCAAGAAGUGGGAGAUGGUUUGCCGGGUGUGCUGAGGUCCCUUCCCAGGGGCUGAGCAGGCUGUCAUUAAAUCAGAGCCGGGAAGGGCAGAGAAAGGGGUGGAGAGCGCCGGGCUGCGAGACAAUGUCCCCGGAGCCACCGACAGACGGUGUCUCCAAAGGUUUGUUCCCCCAACUGCCACGGCAGCUGCGGGGAUGCUGCGUGCUGUGCCGUGCUGUGCCGUGCUGUGCCAUGCUGUGCCGUGCCGUGCCAGGGCCUCUGCCCACCUCCUCAGCCAACAGCGGGGCUGUGGUGGCCAUGGGCAUUCCCGGUGGGAAGGGGCAGGGCAGCAGCUGCAGCGCUGGGAUGCUCUGGUGAACCCCAUCCCCUGCAGCUCCCAUCUCGGUGGGCAGGUAGGGCCUGGUAGAGCACGUUAAUAGCCAUUUUUCACCUAAAUAAAGAGAGAGGAGUACAUUCCCUGCAGAUUUGCCCUGCGUGGGGCUGUUGUGGCCAGAGCAGGAAGGGCUUUGCUCUUCAGGGCACCAUGGGUGGGAUGGUGGGAGCCAUCCAGGGGCUGGGUACCUGCUGGAAUGAGGCAGCCUCCCUAAAUCACACACAGGAUCAGGGCACACAUCCCUUUGUCAGAGCCAGCUGUGCAAUGGGAACUGGGCAAUGGGAACUGGGCAGUGGGAACUGGGCAAUGGGAACUGGGCAAUGGGAACUGGGCAAUGGGAAUUGUGGGGUGGGAGCUGUGCAAUGGGAACUGUGCAAUGGGAAUUGUGGGGUGGGAAUUGGGCCCGUGCUGUUCCCUAUCAGUGUUCUGGCUCUGGCCCUUCUCCCAUGUUGGUGUGACAUGGGGCAGGAGUGGAUGGGGACUGGGAUGGGACGGGGUUGUUUGGCACUGAGCAGGUGGCACAGGACACCUCGCAGGUCACAUCCCUUCACAGGGACAUGGGGCUCCUCCCAACCACAGGAUCUCAGGUGGAGAUAAGCAGGAGUGCCAGAGCUUGGGGUGCUGGGGUCUGCCAGGGGACAUGGCCAGAGCUGUCCUCCUCCUCCCACCCUGCCCUGAUCAGCUUCCAAACCCCAUUAGAAUGCCUCUCAUAAACCAGGGGCUUAACUACCUGAUUAAAUCUCCCCAGCCAAAGCGGGGCAGGCACUAAUUUGAGGUUGGUUCCCAAACUAGGGAUUGUGUCGUUACUUUAUUUAAAAUGCACCGAUGAAUAGAGGCAGGCAGGGAGGAGGGUGAUUAUAUCUGCCUGCUCGGGAUUGAGGAGAAAAGAGCGGAGAGUCCCAGACCCCAGAAACAUCAAAGCCAGAACAAAAACCCUCUUUCUUUGAGAGCUGAAAACCUUCUGCUCCUGAAAGGGGCUUUAAGUGGUGGCUCUUGGUAGUUGUUUCAGGCCAACAGCAGCUUUGAGGACAGCGACAAGCCCCGGCGGUGGGGUGGGCUGGAGGGCGAGGAGGGAUGGCCAUGACUUCGGGACGAGGAGAGCGGAGCGCACACAGCCGCGCACACAGCCGGGUUUUGUUGGAAUUAAGCAGCAUGAAAUUGAGCCCAAACACGCGUCCAGGGAGGACACGAGCAGCUCAUUCCCGGGGCCGUCGGGGAACGUCGGAGCAGGGCGGCGGGAUAAAGAAAGAGCUGCACGCUCGGCUGGCUCGGGGUGCAGAUGGAGCAGAGCCCUGCCGGCCCCGCUCCUCCUCCGGGCCCUGCGCAGCCCGGCUGGAGCAGAGAGGCCAUAAAGGGACUGAGAGAGCCAUCACUCGCCCUGCCCUGAGUGACAGGCCCUUGAGUGAGGCGCCAUAUGCCGGCUCAUGCCUCCCGAAGCCGAGUUUUGUCAGCGGGCUCUGGCUGCGCAAAUUGGCACAAUUCAGCUCUCCGGCUCCUCAGCUGGUCUCCACACCCCACUUGACACGGCAGCGACCUCUCCUUUGUGGGCCCCGGCGAGAGGGGAGGGGGGACCCCGGCGUGGGCGCGGAUGAAUCGGAGGCUGCUCCCCCUCGCAUUCAGGCAGCCCUCGGAGCAGGGGAGGGGGAACAGGGAGCAAAGGUGCCCAAUUAAAUGUACAUUUAGAGCCUGUGCCGAGUAAACAGUUGAUUGCGUAUGGGGGAGGCAAAGCACCGGCACCAGCUCCGUCCUCUGUGCCGGGCAUGCCAAAAAAUGCCAACUUUGCCAUGGAAAACAUCAUCACUGCUGUAAUUCUCUCCUUUCAUCAUCCCCGUCUGAGGGGUUGGUGGG